rnacentral:rRNA from 1 species
CGUGUAGGCGGUAAUGUAAGUCAGACGUGAAAUCCUUUGGCUCAACUGAAGAACUGCGUCUGAAACUGCAUGACUAGAGUGCAGAAGAGGGAAACGGAAUUCCAGGUGUAGAGGUGAAAUUCGUAGAUAUCUGGAGGAACACCGGUGGCGAAGGCGGUUUCCUGGUCUGACACUGACGCUGAGGCGCGAAAGCGUGGGGAGCAAACAGGAUUAGAUACCCUGGUAGUCCACGCCGUAAACGGUGGGUACUGGGUGUGGGAGGUGUAAUGCCUUCUGUGCCGAAGCUAACGCGUUAAGUACCCCGCCUGGGGGGUACGGCCGCAAGGUUGAA